rnacentral:rRNA from 1 species
GUGCAGCAGGCGAGAAACCUCCGCAAUGCUCGAAAGAGCGACGGGGGGCUCCAAGUGCCUACGCUCAGCGUAGGCUGUUCCCGAGCCUAAAAAAGCUCGGGGAGUAAGGGCUGGGUAAGACGGGUGCCAGCCGCCGCGGUAAUACCCGCAGCCCGAGUGGUGGCCGCUAUUAUUGGGCCUAAAAGCGUCCGUAGCCGGCUCGGUAAAUGCCUGGGUAAAAUCGUCUGGCCCAACCAGACGAAUUCCGGGUAGACUGCCGGGCUAGGGACCGGAGGAGGGAGA